rnacentral:misc_RNA from 1 species
AGCAGCCGCGGUAAUUCCAGCUCCAAUAGCGUAUAUUAAAGUUGUUGCAGUUAAAAAGCUCGUAGUUGAAUUUCGGGAUCAAUAUAUCGGUCGUGCCUUGGUACGUACUGGUAUCAUUGGUUUCUCCUUUCUGACGAACCAUGAUGUCAUUAAUUUGGUGUUAUGGGAAGUUAGGACUGUUACUUUGAAAAAAUUAGAGUGUUUAAAGCAGGCUUUGGCUUGAAUACAUUAGCAUGGAAUAAUGAAAUAGGACGUUCGAACCUAUUUUGUUGGUUUCUAGGAUCAACGUAAUGAUUAAUAGGGAUAGUUGGGGGCAUUAGUAUUCAAUUGUCAGAGGUGAAAUUCUUGGAUUUAUUGAAGACUAACUACUGCGAAAGCAUUUGCCAAGGAUGUUUUCAUUAAUCAAGAACGAAAGUUAGGGGAUCGAAGACGAUCAGAUACCGUCGUAGUCUUAACCAUAAACUAUGCCGACUAGGGAUCGGACGCAGUUAAUUUUAUAAUGACGUGUUCGGCACCUUAC